rnacentral:RNase_P_RNA from 1 species
GGAGUUGGACAGACUGUCGCCGUGCCCCGCAGGGGCAGGGAGGAAAGUCCGGGCUCCACAGGGCAGGACGCUGGAUAACGUCCAGCAGGGGUGACCCUGGGAAAGUGCCACAGAAACAAACCGCCCUGCACUCAACACAACGACCAGGAUGCGUCAUAUCCUUUGAGAAGACAUUGUGGUAGUUGUGUUGGGUGCAGGGUAAGGGUGAAAAGGUGGGGUAAGAGCCCACCAGUUGCCGUGGUGACACGGCAAGCUCGGUAAACCCCGUCUGGAGCAAGACCAAAUAGGAAGACGUUACGGUCGGCCCGGCCAAGGUCUUCGGGUAGGUUGCUUGAGGCAUGGAGUAAUUCAUGCCCUAGAUGAAUGACAGUCACCCUGCACUCAACACAACGACCAGGAUACGUCAUAUCCUUGAGAAGGCAUUGUGGUAGUUGUGUUGAGUGCAGGGGACAGAACCCGGCUUAUCGUCUGACUCCAUUU